rnacentral:rRNA from 1 species
GACGAACGCUGGCGGCGUGCUUAACACAUGCAAGUCGAGCGAGCGGCGACCGGGUGCGUAACGCGUGAGUAACCUGCCCCCUCUCUGGGAUAACAGUUGGCAACGGCUGCUAGUACCGGAUAACGGGGGAUGGGCUCGCGGCCUAUCAGCUUGUUGGUGGGGUGAUGGCCUACCAAGGCGGUGACGGGUAGCCGGCCUGAGAGGGUGACCGGCCAAAUUGGGACUGGGAUACGGCCCAGACUCAGACGGGAGGCAGCAGUGGGGGAUAUUGCACAAUGGGCUAAAGCCUGAUGCAGCGACGCCGCGGGGGGGAUGAAGGCUUUCGGGUUGUAAACCUCUUGCGCUAUCGAAAGGGUAGGUGGAGAAGAAGCGCCGGCUAUCUACGUGCCAGCAGCCGCGGUAAUUC